rnacentral:ncRNA from 20 species
UGUCUCCUCCACCUCCUCUAUUGGUGGAUUCAGCCCCCGGCUUUACAGCCUGGGGCUUUUUUU